UUCAGUCACUUCAUCCUUUCAUUUUGUCCUUUAUUUUUAAUAUUUUAUGUAUAGCAGUGCAGUCAAAUUCUCGUGAAUGAAUGCAGGUUCAACGACAGGUUAUAGAGAUCAUUACUCAUAUAGCUUCUACAGUCCAAAAGUUCCCAAAAAGAUGUGUGGUGCUCUGCAUUCUAGGUGGGUAUUAGGUUAUAGUUGUAAAUGGUUUUUUUUUUUUUUUUCAUUCUAUAAAAGUUUUAAAUGUGUUAGAUAUGUUUGAUUUGACUGUUAUUUUCUACAAGUUAACUAAUGUUAUCAGCUAUGCCUUCUGGAAAAACUGAAAGAAGUUAAAAUUUCAAGAGAUGCCCGGUUUAGGUUCAGUUUUCUCAGAAAAGUCACCGCCAACCUGUUACUUAUGAGUCAAUACGAGUGAUACUAGUUGUUGAUGAGUUCUUUCAGAGUUUUCUUUUGGUCUCCUGAUCCUAGUUGAUUUGGUCAGUUGUGAGUGAUGCCUACGAGUUUUGAGCUUUAAUUUGGAGCAGUUGUUGACGUUGCAUUUAUAGGACUCACCAUAUAGGUUAAUCUAGUGGCAAUUUCUAUUUUUAGGUAAAAGUGAAUGGGUAGCAGAUAUUAGUAUCUAACACUUUUUUUAAGUUCACCUUGUUGCUUGUGUUAUACCAUGUUGUUGCUCACUAGUAGUUUUGAUGAAAUAAACAAAACAUUUGCGCGUAAUUUCUUUACUUCAGAAUUUGAUUGUCUUAAUUUUGAUAUUAUGUAUUCUUUAUAUAUCUAACUUGUUGAUUGUAAUCAACCUACAUCAAUAGACUAUUAGAUAGUGCUUGAUUGAGGAAGUAAGGCAUAAGUCCCAGUUCAGUAACUCAGGAAAAAAAAGAGGAGGUCGGAGUCAUGAUUUUUUUAAACCUUGGCUAUGAGUAUAGGUGGGGAUGCAACUGGAUGGGUAGCCCAAAUGGGUUUUUAAGGUCCAUCCAUGUGAGGCCCUGCCUUGGGUUUCAAAGGUGAGGCCAAAUGAGUCUUUAGAACUUCGAUUUGUUCGUUUGUGUCUGGCAAACAGUUGUCUUCAUGUAGUCCCAGAAAUACUUGUAAUCUACAAAUAUUUAUUAUGAAACUCAAAAUAUUCAGUUUUUCUCUUUUUCCUCCCUACAAUGAUUGAGAGUGAACAUACAAGUCAGGAUAUCAUCUGGAGUAGUAGCUGCUACUGUAAUUAAGAUUGCAAAGAGGCCAGAAAAGGUUGGAAAGCUCAUUGUUGUAAGUUCUAUUCUCUUGUUUCUUCCAUUAUAUAUUAUUUACUUCUAUUGUGCUUUUCAUGUCCUUGUCUCGUCCUUAAGAAAUUUCACUUUAGAAUUUCCAGGAAGACAUUAAUUCAAAUAAGAAUAUUCUUCUUUCCCAAUAUUCUUCACUGGUAACUAAUUCCCUUGCAAGCGGGAACUGAAUUGUCCUCCCUGUUUUAGCUGUUAACUAUUUCAAAACAGUUUCCUAUUUCUAAAUGGUUUGGAUCACCAGAAGGUCUGCUGUUUAUGUAACUCUGUGUGACUCAUUUCUAAACAUUGUAGCCCCACUUGGUCUAGAACGAGCUCCCCUCGGGUCAUGAGUGCAUCGAGCAUAUCCAAAAACCGGUUAGGUAUAUAGAAGGCCAUCACAUUGUAGAGCUCUUCAUCUGCUUGACGGGCUUUCAUUGAAUUGUCUUUUUAUUCUGAAGUCUUCCAUUGUAGAUUUUAGUUUUUACUGUCAGGUUUGCAAGUCGGAUAAAUAAUGUUUCAAAUUACAUCAUGGUUGUUUUUACUGUCUUUUGAUUCUUAAAUGAAUAUGGCUUAAAUAUAUUUUAUUUUAUUUUACACGGCAGGUUUUUUUGUUUAAAAUCGUUUCAAAAUAAGAAAAAAUACUGUUCUCAAAUAUGA